CUUGGAUAUAAGAGUUCAGAGAUCCAAGAGGAAUUGAAUUGAAUGGAAAGAGUAUAGUACACAAUUAUAUUUGACCUAAGUCUAUAAAGGUAUGGACUAGGGAGAAUAGGUUUCUGGAUAUGAUGGUAUCCAAUGAAUACAUUGUUAAGUUGUUUUAUGAUUUCCCUGAGUUUGUUAGACACAGACUAGGAAUAAGAGUUUCUGGGCAGUAUGACCCCAAGUUUAUUUUUGUUUAUUUUAUUUUAGUCAGUUGAAGUGUACUAAGGAAUAUGGAUUGGUCAGAACAUUAGGACAAGCCUGCUUUUAAGGUGUAUUACAUUAAUAAGUCAUCACAAUGCUAAUGAAGAGAGUGAUGAUAAUUAAUUUAAAUUAUUCUUUCCAAGUUAUUUUAAAGUAAACUAUGUUUCUAUGGAAUGAAAAGUUUGUUACUACAAGGUGGAAUUUUAGUGAAAAUUAUAAUUAUGUAAACAAAAACAAAUCUAUGUUAGAAAGAUUUCUGGGUGGAGAAUUUCUAGGACAAUAAGUAUUGUCAACACCAUGAACAUUAUUUGAAGAAUUAUUAUAGAACUUCAUGGUUGAUAACACAUCCUUUGAAUGAGUCUUAUAAGUAGUGUUGAUAUAUUUC